rnacentral:tRNA from 1 species
GCCUGGGUGGCUCAGUGGCUAAGCGUCUGACUUCUGCUCAGGGUUUGAGGGUUUGAGCCCCGCGUCAGGCU